GGGACGGCAAGGGCCAACAGGACAACAGGGAGACAUAGGAGCAGCAGGGCCAGCCGGACUUCCUGGACCCAUUGGGACUGACGGCAACAUGGGGGAACAAGGGAAGCAGGGAAAAGAUGGACCUAAGGGGGAUCGAGGAAUAACUGGUAUUCAAG